GCACAAGCGGUGGAGCAUGUGGUUUAAUUCGAUGCAACGCGAAGAACCUUACCUGGUCUUGACAUCCACGGAAGUUUUCAGAGAUGAGAAUGUGCCUUCGGGAACCGUGAGACAGGUGCUGCAUGGCUGUCGUCAGCUCGUGUUGUGAAAUGUUGGGUUAAGUCCCGCAACGAGCGCAACCCUUAUCCUUUGUUGCCAGCGGUCCGGCCGGGAACUCAAAGGAGACUGCCAGUGAUAAACUGGAGGAAGGUGGGGAUGACGUCAAGUCAUCAUGGCCCUAUACGACCAGGGCUACACACGUGCUACAAUGGGCGCAUACAAAGAGAAGCGACCUCGCGAGAGCAAGCGGACCUCAUAAAGUGCGUCGUAGUCCGGAUUGGAGUCUGCAACUCGACUCCAUGAAGUCGGAAUCGCUAGUAAUCGUGGAUCAGAAUGCCACGGUGAAUACGUUCCCGGGC
rnacentral:rRNA from 1 species